UCCUUAACCCCUAUUUCUUUGGCCCAAUAAUGUUUUGCAUAUUCUUUUUAACUGAUGCUUCAUGCUUCUUCUGGCAUGAGAAGCAGUUUACGCUUUUAUUCCUUUUUCAACAAUCUUAUUACCUUUACUGUUUCUGGCAUGCAAUUACAAUCAACAACUUUUUUCUUCUUACUCCACCAUCCAUAUCAUAUCAUGUGAUUCACUAGCAAGCUUCUCCACCAACCAGGUCGUGUGCUCCAAGAUCUCAAUCAAAAACUUUUUUCCCUACUGAUAAAAACAUAAAAGUUAAAAAAUCUGAGUAUCCAAUCUAAAUGUUAAGAUAACAGAUAGAGUAAGCAAAGACCUUUAUAUAAUAUUUGGAUACCUUUACAUAUCCGAUAUGGGCAAUGUUAAUCAUCCUUAACAUUCUCCAUCACAUGUAACCCAAUUCUAAGGUCUACACCUGCAUUAAACCUUCUUUUCUUGUUCUUGCGACUUUUAUUUUUUCACGAACAUAAUAUUUAAAUA
rnacentral:lncRNA from 1 species